rnacentral:lncRNA from 1 species
UAAUUCAACAAGAUGUGCGUGCAUUCUCAGAAUAGCCUUUACCGUGUGAAAAGCAAGUGUUUCAACUGUGAGGAAGAGGCCUCUAUUGCAUAUUAAACAGGAUUAUCUGUUUGGAUCACUUUCCAAUUAUGCAAUGAGCCAUCUGGCAAUCUGAAUUGAUGGAGAAACUGAGUAGAAUUAUUGUAACCGAAGAAGGCGGGACUGAAGGACGCUCAGCGGUAAAGACCUGCUCAGGUCUCACACCAGUGGGGGACAGAGACAGAGGCUUUGUUUGA